GAGAUCUGCCGGCGUCUGCCUCCUGAGUGCUGGGAUUAAAAGCGUGCGCCACUGCCACCCGGCCUGUUUGUUGUUUUUUAAGAUUUAGAGUUUACCUACAUUAAGUUCUUGGAUCUCAGACUGAAGCCCAGGCUGACCCUGAACUUACUUUCAAUUGUCCUGCUUUAACCUCUCAAAUGCUGAGAACUAUAGACAUGUGUCUCUGCCCCUUUGGAAUUUUAAAAAAUAAAGUUAUAUCAAAAUUCA